CCUACGGGAGGCAGCAGUAGGGAAUCUUCCACAAUGGGCGAAAGCCUGAUGGAGCAACGCCGCGUGGGUGAAGAAGGUCUUCGGAUCGUAAAACCCUGUUGUUAGAGAAGAAAGUGCGUGAGAGUAACUGUUCACGUUUCGACGGUAUCUAACCAGAAAGCCACGGCUAACUACGUGCCAGCAGCCGCGGUAAUACGUAGGUGGCAAGCGUUAUCCGUAUUUAUUGGACGUAAAGGGAACGCAGGCGGUCUUUUAAGUCUGUUGUGAAUGCCUUCGGCUUAACCGGAGUAGUGCAUUGGAAACUGGGAGACUUGAGUGCAGAAGAGGAGAGUGGAACUCCAGGUGUAGCGGUGAAAUGCGUAGAGAUAUGGAAGAACACCAGUGGCGAAAGCGGCUCUCUGGUCUGUAACUGACGCUGAGGUUCGAAAGCGUGGGUAGCAAACAGGAUUAGAUACCCGGGUAGUC
rnacentral:rRNA from 1 species